rnacentral:rRNA from 1 species
UAACAAGGAUUCCCCUAGUAACUGCGAGUGAAGCGGGAAAAGCUCAAAUUUAAAAUCUGUCAGCCUUUGGCUGUCCGAGUUGUAAUCUAGAGAAGUGUUAUCCGCGCUGGACCGUGUACAAGUCUCCUGGAAUGGAGCGUCAUAGAGGGUGAGAAUCCCGUCUUUGACACGGACUGCCAGGGCUUUGUGAUGCGCUCUCAAAGAGUCGAGUUGUUUGGGAAUGCAGCUCAAAAUGGGUGGUAAAUUCCAUCUAAAGCUAAAUAUUGGCGAGAGACCGAUAGCGAACAAGUACCGUGAGGGAAAGAUGAAAAGAACUUUGGAAAGAGAGUUAAACAGUACGUGAAAUUGCUGAAAGGGAAACGCUUGAAGUCAGUCGCGUUGUCCAGGGAUCAACCUUGCUUUUGCUUGGUGUACUUUCUGGUUAACGGGUCAGCAUCAAUUUUGACUGUUGGAAAAAGAUCAGGGGAAUGUGGCAUCUUCGGAUGUGUUAUAGCCCUUGGUUGCAUACAAUGGUUGGGAUUGAGGAACUCAGCACGCCGCAAGGCCGGGUUUUAACCACGUACGUGCUUAGGAUGCUGGCAUAAUGGCUUUAAUCGACCCGUCUUGAAACACGGACCAAGGAGUCUAACAUGCCUGCGAGUGUUUGGGUGGAAAACCCGAGCGCGUAAUGAAAGUGAAAGUUGAGAUCCUUGUCAUGGGGAGCAUCGACGCCCGGACCAGACCUUUUGUGACGGUUCCGCGGUAGAGCAUGUAUGUUGGGACCCGAAAGAUGGUGAACUAUGCCUGAAUAGGGUGAAGCCAGAGGAAACUCUGGUGGAGGCUCGUAGCGAUUCUGACGUGCAAAUCGAUCGUCAAAUUUGGGUAUAGGGGCGAAAGACUAAUCG